rnacentral:rRNA from 1 species
AAACGACUCUCGGCAACGGAUAUCUCGGCUCUCGCAUCGAUGAAGAACGUAGCGAAAUGCGAUACUUGGUGUGAAUUGCAGAAUCCCGUGAACCAUCGAGUUUUUGAACGCAAGUUGCGCCCAAAGCCUUCGGGCUGAGGGCACGUCUGCCUGGG